rnacentral:SRP_RNA from 1 species
GCUGGGCGUGGUGGCUCAUGCCUGUAAUCCCAGCACCUUGGGAGGCUGAGGUGGGUGGAUCACCUGAGGUCAGGAAUUCAAAACCAGCCUGGCCAAUAUGGUGAAAACCUGUCUCUA